ACCGCGUCCUCAGGCAGCCAAUUCCGCUGACAUACAGGGCCUGAGGCGCCCAGCGCUGUCUUCAAGUUGCCUUGACAGUUGCUGGCAUAUGGAAUAAUAGGGCACGGCUUCGAGACCGAUGUUGCAUGGACAGCGUUUCGGUGGCCUUCUGUCGUCGCCACCUUGGGACACUUCGCAGGCCCAUCGCCGCCCUUGAAGCAACUAAAUAAUCCAGCGAGCAUACUAUUAGUUGCUCUUGCCUGUUCGGCAGCGCCUUAACAUCGGCAAGCGGACUUCGGGUUGGUUCGAGCGCCCUCAGAUAUUUGUGAAGGCUUCAGGGCUCAGUAGACUUUAACCUUGUGUUACUGUCAUAUUUAAAUUGUUAUAGAGGUGCAAGCCCCCGACUGGUGCCGCGGCAGAAAUGUGCCCCGAAGGAGAGUCUUGGUGAGGACCUAUGCGUUACAAAAUUAAGCUCCGUAACGCCCCAAUAUGUAACGUUGUUGAUACUUUAUUUACGUAGAGUGCAAGCGGUGCCCAACGUUCUCAUGGACAGUUUCACGGAAUCAGAGAAAAUCUCCUGAAUGGUCGUACACCAGCCAAAAAUCCGAAGGUGGAAGAGUUUCAGGUUUCAGGAGAAACGCACCUCCCAACGAUGAUAUCACACCCACUGCUUUACCCAAUUUUCCCCUUGGUGCUAUGGUUCGUCUACUAGUACCCUGGCCCGCGAUGUCGCCUCGAUGUGUUCGCAAGAAGAAACUACUAGUGGCAAACUCCUAUGCGUGCUAAUUUUAACUUAAGCGUUAAAGUCAGUGAAAUUUACCGUGCGCUUCCGGAAGGCUUGCCAGCAUGGACUUGUUCGCUGCUGUGCAGGAACACGGCGACAGCUUCUCGUGACAAACACCCUACCCAAGAUUCAUACACAAUUCCGAAGGCUGCUCAAUCCCUGACGAGCGCGUGUGCGUCGCCCUGCACGCAGAAGGACGCUCAAUUCCAAAUUCUAAAGCAAGCAGAAGUAUCUGCAAGCAGGAGCACCCUUACCUGCUUUUGAGAGAAGUUGAACUGCCAGUCUGCCUGCCAUACAAGAGUGGAGGCUGGCGGGCUGCCAGCAACUUAUGCUUGCCUAUAUAGCUUGAACGCUUGCCGUCCGUUGCAACAGCGGAGGUUCGACACGGACGCGUCGAAGUAUAAUUGAUUAGUUGUGGAUAGUUGGAUGAUUAUGGUGCACUGAGUUUCUUCCGGCCCAGGUGCCAUCUCCCGCAGUCUCCCGGCCCCAACCCAGGCCAAUGUAAGUCCGCGGCCCUAAACGUCUGCAUGUGGAUC
rnacentral:lncRNA from 1 species